CCGAUCUAAAAAGAAGUCAAAAAAAGGCCAUGAGUCAAUUUGAUAGCAUCAUAGAUUUUUGGUGGGACCAGCUUACGACGUAACGAUCAUAAACAAUUGAUAAACGAUCGGGCCACCAUCUUGUUGAUAGUUUUGGAGAUUUUUGGCGGGAUGAACUUGCGAUGUGAACAUGUAGCGAUAAACAAUUGAAUGAUCUCGCUUCCGUUUUCAUCUGAAGUCUGAAUUAUUGAUGCAGUAUUUGUGGAGUGAAAAUGUGCGAAUAUAUCUGAUGAAGAUACACGCAGCAAGUGAAUCUGGUUGACGAUUCGUACGUGCAGGAGAACAAGGCAAUUAUACGCAGGGUGAUUCAGGCAGUCAGUCGGUCAGUCUGUGAAGAUAUCUCUGAAUGAUUUCCCGUAGCAAGAAGUAAAGGAAAGAAUUU